CAGUCGCCGCGGGAAAACCAGCACCUCGAGUGGUCAGGAGGUUUAUUGGGCCUAAAGCAUCCGUAGCCGGUUGCAUAAGUUUUCGGUUAAAUCUAUGCGCUUAACGUAUAGGCCGCCGAAAAUACUGUGCAGCUAGGGAGUGGGAGAGGUACACGGUACUCGAUAGGAAGGGGUAAAAUCCUUUGAUCUAUUGAUGACCACCUGUGGCGAAGGCGGUGUAUCAGAACACGUUCGACGGUGAGGGAUGAAAGCUGGGGGAGCAAACCGGAUUAGAUACCCGAGUAGUCCCUGUCUCUUAUAC
rnacentral:rRNA from 1 species